rnacentral:rRNA from 1 species
AUGAACGCUGGCGGCGUGCCUAAUACAUGCAAGUCGAGCGAACAGACGAGGAGCUUGCUCCUCUGACGUUAGCGGCGGACGGGUGAGUAACACGUGGAUAACCUACCUAUAAGACUGGGAUAACUUCGGGAAACCGGAGCUAAUACCGGAUAAUAUAUUGAACCGCCUGGUUCAAUAGUGAAAGACGGUUUUGCUGUCACUUAUAGAUGGAUCCGCGCCGCAUUAGCUAGUUGGUAAGGUAACGGCUUACCAAGGCAACGAUGCGUAGCCGACCUGAGAGGGUGAUCGGCCAAACUGGAACUGAGACACGGUCCAGACUCCUACGGGAGGCAGCAGUAGGGAAUCUUCCGCAAUGGGCGAAAGCCUGACGGAGCAACGCCGCGUGAGUGAUGAAGGUCUUCGGAUCGUAAAACUCUGUUAUUAGGGAAGAACAAAUGUGUAAGUAACUAUGCACGUCUUGACGGUACCUAAUCAGAAAGCCACGGCUAACUACGUG